AACGAACGCUGGCGGCAGGCCUAACACAUGCAAGUCGAACGCUGUAGCAAUACAGAGUGGCAGACGGGUGAGUAACGCGUGGGAACAUGCCCUUCGGUACGGAAUAACUCAGGGAAACUUGAGCUAAUACCGGAUACGCCCUUAGGGGGAAAGAUUUAUUGCCGAAGGAUUGGCCCGCGUCCGAUUAGCUAGUUGGUGAGGUAAUGGCUCACCAAGGCGACGAUCGGUAGCUGGUCUGAGAGGAUGAUCAGCCACACUGGGACUGAGACACGGCCCAGACUCCACGGGAGGCAGCAGUGGGGAAUAUUGGACAAUGGGCGUAAGCCUGAUCCAGCCAUGCCGCGUGAGUGAUGAAGGCCCUAGGGUUGUAAAGCUCUUUCGCCAGGGACGAUAAUGACGGUACCUGGAUAAGAAGCCCCGGCUAACUUCGUGCCAGCCGCCGCCGUAAAAC
rnacentral:rRNA from 1 species